rnacentral:piRNA from 2 species
UGACUGCAGCUCCUCAUGACCAGCCC